rnacentral:rRNA from 1 species
CGUGCCUAAUACAUGCAAGUCGAACGAACUUCCGUUAAUUGAUUAUGACGUGCUUGCACUGAAUGAGAUUUUAACACGAAGUGAGUGGCGGACGGGUGAGUAACACGUGGGUAACCUGCCCAGAAGCAGGGGAUAACACCUGGAAACAGAUGCUAAUACCGUAUAACAGAGAAAACCGCCUGGUUUUCUUUUAAAAGAUGGCUCUGCUAUCACUUCUGGAUGGACCCGCGGCGCAUUAGCUAGUUGGUGAGGUAACGGCUCACCAAGGCGAUGAUGCGUAGCCGACCUGAGAGGGUAAUCGGCCACAUUGGGACUGAGACACGGCCCAGACUCCUACGGGAGGCAGCAGUAGGGAAUCUUCCACAAUGGACGCAAGUCUGAUGGAGCAACGCCGCGUGAGUGAAGAAGGGUUUCGGCUCGU